UACAGAGGGGGCGAGCGUUGUUCGGAAUUACUGGGCGUAAAGGGCGCGUAGGCGGCCCGCUAAGUCGAACGUGAAAUCCCCAGGCUCAACCUGGGAACUGCGUCCGAUACUGGCAGGCUUGAAUCCGGGAGAGGGAUGUGGAAUUCCAGGUGUAGCGGUGAAAUGCGCAGAUAUCAGGAGGAACACCAAUGGCGAAGGCAGCUCGCUGGGACGGUACUGACGCUGAGACGCGAAAAGCGUGGGGGAGCGAACAGG
rnacentral:rRNA from 1 species